rnacentral:rRNA from 1 species
AAAGCGCUGGGGGAGCCAAACCACGAUUUAGAUUACCCUUGGUAGGUUCUUGCCCGUAAACGAGGUCUAUUAGGAGUCUGUGGCCCCUGAGUUCGUGGGGUUCCAAAAGCUAACGCAUUAAAUAGACCGCCUGGGGAGUACGGCCGCAAGGUUAAAACUCAAAUGAAUUGACGGGGGCCCGCACAAGCGGUGGAGCAUGUGGUUUAAUUCGAUGCAACGCGAAGAACCUUACCUACCCUUGACAUCCAGAGAACUUACCAGAGAUGGUUUGGUGCCUUCGGGAACUCUGAGACAGGUGCUGCAUGGCUGUCGUCAGCUCGUGUUGUGAAAUGUUGGGUUAAGUCCCGCAACGAGCGCAACCCUUGUCCUAUGUUGCCAGCGCGUAAUGGCGGGAACUCAUGGGAGACUGCCGGUGAUAAACCGGAGGAAGGUGGGGACGACGUCAAGUCAUCAUGGCCCUUACGGGUAGGGCUACACACGUGCUACAAUGGUCAGUACAAAGGGUUGCCAACUCGCGAGAGUGAGCCAAUCCCAUAAAGCUGGUCGUAGUCCGGAUUGGAGUCUGCAACUCGACUCCAUGAAGUCGGAAUCGCUAGUAAUCGUGGAUCAGAAUGCCACGGUGAAUACGUUCCCGGGCCUUGUACACACCGCCCGUCACGCCAUGGGAGUGGGCUGCAAAAGAAGUGGGUAGUUAACCUCGGAGGAC